UAACCUUAAUAAUUUGGCUGUAUCUUUUAUAUAGAGGAGUUUGUAAUUUAAUCGAAAUUGCACGAUUUAUUUUACUUGUGUUUAUCUUGUAUACCUCCGUUUAGAUGUUGUUUAUAACUCCCUAAAUUUUCAUAGUAAUUAUGGUUAGAAUAUCACGUCGAGGUGCAUUAUAUUCAAGAUAUUAUGUGCUACAUUAAAAAAUUAAUUAAAUGGAUUUAAUAUGAAAAGUUUAAUGAAGGUGGAUCUAUGAAUAAAAUAAAGUAUAAUAUUUGUUUGAAUAUAAUAUAGCUAUGUACACAU
rnacentral:rRNA from 1 species